rnacentral:snoRNA from 1 species
CUGGCCUCUUCGAAGAUCCUUGGAUUUUGGUUCUAACACCUGUGGUCCACGGAUUCAAAGCGAGGCCUAGAAGAAGUGUGCGUGUUGUUUUUUAAUUAUAACGGCACCUCAUUGGGCUUGGUUUGGGAGGUGAUUUUCAGAUUAAAUCAACUCCUUCUGCCCGAUGAUACAGUU